AAUUUAACAUCAAACUCAGAUGUUGAACGUGAAGGAUAACGUUGCGUCAGCAACGGCCCGUAGGGCGAGGCGAAGCCGAGUCAUCCUGCACGACCCACCA
rnacentral:sRNA from 3 species